ACAUCUGUACACGUCGGACGGACAGACGAUUUCAAACCACCCCGCCGUCUCUUGAAUCGAGGAAGAAGGGGGAGAGUGCGGAGAGCGUCUUGCUUUGCCCUCGACGACUCCGUCCGAGCUCGAUGGUGAUGCUCCGCGUGGGUGCCCUUGGCCGCGACCUUCCUCCUCCCCUCCGUCCUCUCUGCCGCCGGGCAACCGAUCCCGCCUUCUCUCGAUUCUCUCGUCAUGAGCGUGGAACUACACGUAGCCGUUGAUCGAUUGAGGAAAUCGGGACUGUUGAGGUCCCAGGGGUUUGUCGGCGGCAAGUGGAUCGAUGCCUACGACGGCAUGACCCUUCAGGUGUGAACAUUGAGGGCGGUCCAUGUGGUAAUUUAAUCGAAAUACAGUCAGGGAAUUGGCCAUUACCAAAAACCAAGAACCAUGUUGGAAUCUGGAAAGAAAAUCUCACGACCAAACUCAUCUUGUUUCUGAUUCUUGAAGGUACAAAAUCCUGCUACUGGUGAUGUUAUCACUAGUGUUCCAUGCAUGGGCAAGGACGAGGUACCUGAUGCAAUAUCCUCUGCAUACAGUACAUUUACUAGUAAAAAAUAUUAAAAGCUUUCUUUAAAAUGAUACAAAGAAACAUUGAAGCUGUUUAAUACAUAGGGUUUCUAUUUUCUAAUGCUAGGUUAGACCUUUGAGUUUCUGAUAUUAUCAUGUUUUAUUGUUAAUACAUUUCAGAACAUAUUCUGCAUGCUCUUAUGAUUUGGAAAAUGCGUAUGUACUCUAGGUGAUGUUUAUUGGGCAUUGGUGGUGUUGGCAAAUUUUACCAUAUCAUGACUAUUUGUUUAUGAGGGUGCGUUUUUAGUGCAGAUAUUAGUGCAAGUUGGUUAAUUGCCUGGUGGGUGAAUAUUGACCCAAGCCUUUAGUACAUAUACCCUGCUCUUGUUAUGUCACUGUCAUAAUUAUUGGCUGAUUUAAUAGUGUCUCUCGUUUGUUUGUCCUAAUAGGUUAUCUAAUUCACACACACUGAAGAUGAAUAAUUAUUGUAAAAUCAUAAGUUUCAAGGUCUAGCUGCAGGGAAAUGAUCCUCCUUUGGUUUUGGAUACUUAUUUACUCAAAUGUGAGAAGUUGAUAUAUCUUCAUGUAGUUGCUUGUUGGAUAAUUUAGACUUUCACCUUCAGAUGAUAACAAAAUGCUAUUAUUUAUGCUUUUUUCUAGUAAAAGAAGGUUGUUUUGACUAUGCAACUAAUUUUGUAGAUUGAGGGCAACCUAACAGGGAGAUGAAUCAGAUUUUUCAAUUAGAAAGUAGAAGUUAACACUGAUUUUGGUCACAACAAAUAGGAUGACAAGAAAUUAAGCAUUAGCGAAUACCUUUGGAUAAACAAGAGAAUAAAAUGAGAUACAUAUAGAGAAAAAAAGUCAGUUAUAUGGGUAAUUGGCUACACCCAGCUUCUUUAUUCCAAGAUCUCCUAUAUCAUUUUUUUUCAAAAGGAUAAAAUCAUUUUACUUUUAACAACCUCUUAUGAUAAACCAUGCCCCUUGGAGCACAAAAUACACCAAGACCUGGCGGCCCAAUCUUGCCCCCAUAUCAUUGAAGUUUUAGUAGUUGUAGUAAAAUUUGCUAAUCAGUGAGCACUACAAUUAGCCUCACAAAAUACAUGAAUGAAUUUGUAUUCAGGAAAUUCAUCAGAUAGACUUAAAUUAUACAUAAAACAGUUUAAAAGGACCCCAGGGGAUCUGUUCAAAAUUUAUCAGCUUCUUAGCAUUAGAUUCCACUACCAAUCUUGAGAUAUCCAGGCUAAUAGCACACUCCAGUCCCAGCUAUAAUUUUAUAGCCAUUAGCUCAGCUCUCUAGCUGUUUCCCUUGGAAAAUAGGCUCCUCCAGCGAGCAAGAUCUGUAUAUGAAAAUUUUUCCUUUUGCCCAUUGUUUUAUCACGUGUAUCAGGGAUUAAAUUCUUGCAUAUUUUCUCCAAUUUUUAAUGAAAAAUUCAUAUGGGGUUUUUUACUUCUACAUAACAGAAGCACUCAACAAAAAAGAAAUAAAAGAAGGCUCCGAGUAGAAAAACAAGUGCCAAAAAGAUGCUAAGAAGAGCGUAUAUUAAGUAAAUUUUAAGAUUUGUUAUCAACGAGAAAUUGAGAUCACACUAAAAGAAUAAGGGGGAUAUUAAAUGUUUACUCAAGUUAUGUAGGAGUUGAGCUAACGAGCCACAAACUAUGGAAAUUUGAGAGAGUGAUGGAAUGAAAAACCACUCGGUUCAGAUGGGUUGAAAAAUCAGAAUAAACUGAUUGACCCGAUUGAUUUUUGGAUAACCCGCACGAAUUGACUUGGUUAAAUAAAUCGAUCCGGAUUUAUAAUAUAGCAAAAGAUUACUUAAAUAUCCUAGCUGAAACCUUUUCUAUUAUUUGUUUAAGAGAGCAUUUAUAUCAAUCAUGAAAUUAGAGUUUACAUGAGAAAUAAAUUAAAAUCAAUCCAGUUUAGUAUAAUUACCAACAAUAUUUAUGUUUAUAAUGUUGAUUAAUAUUAUCAAAUUUAUUAAUUGUAUAUAUUUUUGAAUUAGUUAUAAUAUUUUAGAUUUUUAUUAUGUAUAAUUUUUACUCGAUAUAUUUUAAAAUAUUCUUUAAUUAAACAUGUGGUCCAGCCAAUUGACCCAUCAAUUCGACCAGUGACCUAGGGAUGCAAAACUUGAUCGAGUUGCUUUGGUUGUGAUAACUAUGCUUGGAGUUACCGGUAAAGAUAGAAUCUAAAUAUUUAUAAAAUUCUGAAAAAAACUUUAAGAUAGUAUGAGCAUGUCUAUGGGGAGUCUAUAUAGCAGUGAGUAGGAUAGACUAAAGAAAUGUUUUGACAACCAUAUGAUUUGUUUUUUUUUAUAUUAUAAAUCAGUGGUUUUAUCCUCAAUUUAGCUAACUGUUUGGAGACAAUCCAUGUGGCUAACCCCAAAUAGUUGGGAUGUGUAGUGUGCUGUUUGUUUUGUUGUUGUUCCUGUUAAUGCUAGAAAAAGAUAUCCCAAUCUGUUGAUUAGAUUCUUGAGUUUAGAACGAUGUAAUACAUGAUACAAAUUUAAAGAGGCACUAAGUGGCCUUAACUUUUAAGAAAAAUUAGUCAUUAGUGACUCUGAAGAUCAUAGAAGCUAUAUUAUAAUUGACUGCAAUAUUAUUUCUAUGGAUCACUUUGCAGCCAGUUGUGGAUGAAAUGGCCAGUUGACUGAACAUUGCACCUUCUGAGCACUAGGAUUGCUGUUGUGUGGGUUCCUACAACACAUUGCACUAAUCUAGUUGAUCACAUUUGUGCAAGAGUUGACUGCUCAUACCGAAAUUUUGGCAAAUUCCUUAUGAACCAGAUCCAAGUUGUUACUCAAAGCUCUGAUGGUUCAUAAAGGAUAUAAUGCAUAUUCUCAGGUUUGUUUAACUAAGGGUAGUACCUCUCUUUAAUCUUUAUUUACUUAAGGUGUUCAAGUUCAUUAGAAAGUUUCCGAAAUUGUGUUUUCAAUGAUUGUCAUCAAAAUAAAUCUACACGAGAUAAAAAGUGCCUCCAAUGGCAAUCCCAUAAUAAUUUAACAGCCUGAAAUUCCCAUUUGUGAAUACUGAGGGAAUGUCUAAGAUAAAGAUUAGAAACUCUUAAAUGUUUCUUUUCUAUGUUAAUCAUUAGUAUUUUGUUUGUUGAAUUUGGUUCGAAGUUAAUAGGUCACUAUUUUAUUGCCACUAAUUUUAGUCCAAAACAGUAGUUUAAGUCAAUGAGGAAGCACAAAGUGAUGUUUAAACUUGAUCAUUAGUUUUUUGUAUAUUUAAUUUGUCGUUAUUGUCUUACCGAGCUCUUCAAGUUUAGUGUCUUCAACUACUUUUUCAUGAUUGAAUACUUUUUGCUCGUAAAGGAUCUUUCAAAUAUCAUUCAGGCCUCCAUGGUUUUUUAAACUCAUAGUAAAUCAAUAGAAACCAAAAUCUUAUAUGAAAUUCAUCGAAUUCUUCGCGUAAUAGAUAGUGAUCUAUGGAGAGUUGAUAAUGACUUUGUGGACUUAAGGAUUGUAAUUUUUACCAGAUUUGUUUUAUAUGAUGUUUCUCUUUGCAGCUUAGAGCAAAUUCACUGCAAGUGACAGGAGCAAAUUUCUGAGGAAAUGGUAAAGAUUAUAUGAUGACCUACAAUGAGAUUUCAUAUAUCGUAGAUGUUCUAUUAUUGUAAAGGUUCGCGUCUUGAUGCUUUAUAAUUAAUAACAGAUACAAGUGAAACCUAAAGAUGGAUAUACUGUCAAGCAAGGGAACUUGUAGUAUUGAUCAGUAACAGGGCAAUCUCGACAAUUGUCGAUCUGUACUGAUCAGUAAUCAACUAGUAUAUUGUUUUGACGAUCAAAGUACAUUAUUUCGACCGUCAAAUUUGAUCGAAAUUUUACCAUUGGGUUUUCCUUUAGGUUUAUUCGAGCCCCAUUCUGUAGCAUCUCCUCUUUCUCACUGUCGUUCUCUUGAUUUUUUUUUAAAUCUAAAUAUGGUCCGAGCUUGUGACCAUAUUUGUCUCCUUUGGAAGAAAACCUAAGUGGCUUCUCGCUCGAUUGUUCCUCCUACUAUUGCUCUCUUGAUCGUCAUGGUAGGAAUUGGUUGUUUUAUGGUAAGCUUUUGGUUGUGUUUCUUCUUCUCGAAUUAAUGUUUUCAGAUAUGAUGGAACAUAGAAGAUGGAAGAAAAUAUAGAAGAGCCAACAUUAACGAGUACUUUACAAACUUGCUUGUUGGAUUGCUACAAGUAUAUAAUGGGCCAUCUUCGUUCAUCCUGUAAAUAUUCCACACAAUUAUGGCCUUAGACACUGCUACGGAAGCACGUCCUCCAGCUUGGUUCUUUCGGUUGCCGGUGUCCAUAGCGAAAUCGACGACAAAGUGCUCUUCUUGUAUUAAUUAUGCCUUUUCCAGAGUGGCAUCAUUGAGUUUGUCGGGAUACGUAGGGUCUGGCGGGCUACCCUCGAGUCUUGCGCUCGCUAAGGAGUUCUAAAGCUUGAAAUUAGUUAGUGUGUUGUGAGCUUGGUACUGGUUCGUUUUCAUUAUCAUAUAUAUAAUUUGUUUUGGUUUUGGCUUUACGGGUAAUCGAUAGGAUUGCAGCAAUUGUAUCUUUCCCAGCUUUUCGUUGGGCUGUGGCAUUAUUAUAGUAAUGGUUCGAGAUUUCAUAGGAAAUAUGAGUUUCAAAAAUAUUUUGAAGACUUUUUAUGAUUUAAGUUAUCGUAACUACUA